rnacentral:rRNA from 1 species
AUUGCCUCAGUAACGGCGAGUGAAGCGGCAACAGCUCAAAUUUGAAAUCUGGCCCUCGGGUCCGAGUUGUAAUUUGCAGAGGAUGCUUUUGGCGAGGUGCCUUCCGAGUUCCCUGGAACGGGACGCCAUAGAGGGUGAGAGCCCCGUCUGGUUGGACACCGAGCCUCUGUAAAGCUCCUUCGACGAGUCGAGUAGUUUGGGAAUGCUGCUCUAAAUGGGAGGUAUAUGUCUUCUAAAGCUAAAUACCGGCCAGAGACCGAUAGCGCACAAGUAGAGUGAUCGAAAGAUGAAAAGCACUUUGAAAAGAGAGUUAAAAAGCACGUGAAAUUGUUGAAAGGGAAGCGUUUAUGACCAGACUUGGGCUUGGUUGAUCAUCCGGCGUUCUCGCCGGUGCACUCUUCCGGUUCAGGCCAGCAUCAGUUCGCUCCGGGGGAUAAAGGCUCUGGGAAUGUGGCUCCCUCGGGAGUGUUAUAGCCCACUGCGUAAUACCCUGGGGCGGACUGAGGUACGCGUUCUGCAUGGAUGCUGGCGUAAUGGUCAUCAACGACCCGUCUUGAAACACGGACCAAGGAGUCGUCUUCGUAUGCGAGUGUUCGGGUGUCAAACCCUUACGCGUAAUGAAAGUGAACGCAGGUGAGAGCUUCGGCGCAUCAUCGACCGAUCUUGAUGUUCUCGGAUGGAUUUGAGUAAGAGCAUACGGGGCCGGACCCGAAAGAAGGUGAACUAUGCCUGUAUAGGGUGAAGCCAGAGGAAACUCUGGUGGAGGCUCGCAGCGGUUCUGACGUGCAAAUCGAUCGUCAAAUAUGGGCAUGGGGGCGAAAGACUAAUCGAACCUUCUAGUAGCUGGUUUCCGCCGAAGUUUCCCUCAGGAUAGCAGUGUUGAGCUCAGUUUUAUGAGGUAAAGCGAAUGAUUAGGGACUCGGGGGCGCUAUUUAGCCUUCAUCCAUUCUCAAACUUUAAAUAUGUAAGAAGCCCUUGUUGCUUAAUUGAACGUGGGCAUUCGAAUGUAUCAACACUAGUGGGCCAUUUUUGGUAAGCAGAACUGGCGAUGCGGGAUGAACCGAACGCGAGGUUAAGGUGCCAGAGUAGACGCUCAUCAGACACCACAAAAGGUGUUAGUACAUCUUGACAGCAGGACGGUGGCCAUGGAAGUCGGAAUCCGCUAAGGACUGUGUAACAACUCACCUGCCGAAUGUACUAGCCCUGAAAAUGGAUGGCGCUCAAGCGUCUCACCCAUACCUCGCCCUCAGGGUAGAAACGAUGCCCUGAGGAGUAGGCGGACGUGGAGGUCGUGACGAAGCCUAGGGCGGAG